rnacentral:rRNA from 1 species
CCUACGGGUGGCAGCAGUGAGGAAUAUUGGUCAAUGGGCGCAAGCCUGAACCAGCCAAGUCGCGUGAGGGAUGACGGUCCUAUGGAUUGUAAACCUCUUUUGUCGGGGAGCAAGGCCCGCCACGUGUGGCGGGAAGGAGUGUACCCGAAGAAAAAGCAUCGGCAAACUCCGUGCCAGCAGCCGCGGUAAUACGGGGGAUGCGAGCGUUAUCCGGGUUCAUUGGGGUUUAAGGGUGCGUAGGCGGACUGUUCAGUCAGCGGUAAAAGCCCGGGGCUAAAACCCGGCGAGCCGUUGAAACUGGCUGUCUUGAGAUGUCGAGAGGUAUGCGGAAUGCGCAGUGUAGCGGUGAAAUGCUUAGAUAUUGCGCAGAACUCCGAUUGCGAAGGCAGCAUACCGGCGGCGAUCUGACGCUGAGGCACGAAAGCGUGGGGAUCGAACAGGAUUAGAUACCCCAGUAGUC